CCAUUGGUGGUUCAGUGGUAGAAUUCUCACCUUUGAUGUGGGAGAACUGGGUCCAAUUCCAGCCAAUGCA
rnacentral:tRNA from 1 species